rnacentral:rRNA from 1 species
GACGAACCGUGCAAACGUUAUUCGGAAUCACUGGGCUUAAAGGGCGCGUAGGCGGGCCGCCAGGUCCGGGGUGAAAGCCUCCAGCUCAACUGGAGAAGUGCCUUGGAUACCGGCGGCCUCGAGGGAGGUAGGGGCGUGCGGAACUUCGGGUGGAGCGGUGAAAUGCGUAGAUAUCCGAAGGAACACCGGUGGCGAAAGCGGCGCGCUGGAUCUCUUCUGACGCUGAGGCGCGAAAGCCAGGGGAGCGAACAGG